GAACGCACCUCUAGCGUACCAGUUAUCAUGCCCACAGUAAAGGUUGGGUAGCCAAGUGCGAAGUGGAUAACUGCUGAAAGCAUCUAAGUAGUAAGCCCACCCCAAGAGGAGUGCUC
rfam:Cucumis melo, WGS project CAJI01000000 data, contig: 54361